rnacentral:rRNA from 1 species
CAAUGGCACUGCCCGGUAGCUAAAUGCGGAAGAGAUAAGUGCUGAAAGCAUCUAAGCACGAAACUUGCCCCGAGAUGAGUUCUCCCUGAGACUUUAGGUCUCCUGAAGGAACGUUGAAGACGACGACGUUGAUAGGCCGGGUGUGUAAGCGCAGCGAUGCGUUGAGCUAACCGGUACUAAUGAACCGUGAGGCUUAACCUUAC